rnacentral:rRNA from 1 species
UACAGAGACUGCAAGCGUUAUUCGGAUUCACUGGGCGUAAAGGGUGCGCAGGCGGCCAAGUGUGUGAGGCGUGAAAGCCUGGGGCUUAACUCCAGAAUUGCACCUCAAACUACAUGGCUAGAGCAUUGGAGAGGGUAGCAGAAUUCACGGUGUAGCAGUGAAAUGCGUAGAUAUCGUGAGGAAUACCAGAGGCGAAGGCGGCUACCUGGACAAUUGCUGACGCUCAGGCACGAAAAGCGUGGGGGAGCAAAAAGGG